ensembl:lncRNA
CUGGAAGCAGGGUCUGAUAUUGCUCUAGGUUAACUGUGCAGACCUAGAGAGGACAGACUAGAAGCCAGACAUGACAUCAUGAUACACUGAAUGUAAUAAGGAUUUCAUUGGUAUUAAUAUUAGACAAUAAUGCCCAAGAGCAGCUGGUAAUUAGACAGGACAGCUGCUGAUGCCAGCCAUUAGUAAUGUUGAUCUAUUUGCUCUAAAAAAGAAAAAAAAAGUAUUGCAGAUGUUUCCCUGUCAACUUUGUUUUGGUUCUAAUAGACUCAAUAGCUCUUCUCUUCCACUGAAGGUAAAAAGUUCAACCCCUGCAUAAUAGACUUAGAUUGUUUGACUUGCCACAGGAUGUUCUUAUUUCUUUUUGUGUUUAGCCUAGGGCUGUAAAUCACAAACACCAGCCUGCGUAAUUCUGACUUUUAUUACGUUAAUGUAUUUUAAGAGCAGGAAAUCUAUAGGCUCUUGGCUCAGCUCAGCAAAAGCAAAGCACGGUGGGGACUCUGUCGUCAGGAGCAUUCUCAGAAAUGUGCCUCCUGCUGCAAAGGUGACCUCAGGAUAAACUUUGCUUAGCUUUCGGUCAGGGGAAGGAAGGAGCUCCCCACUUCUUAGCUCAGGUGGCAGCUGGGCCUCCUCUAGGAGGAGGAACUCAUUUUGUGAGAGUAGUGAGGGAGGGAAGAGUGGAAGAGCUGGUGGUACUGGCACUGGAGCUUCAGUGCUGAGUCCAGCUUGCAGAUGCAGGAUCCUGUUUGCUCAUCAUUGCAGAGCAGCAGUGGCAUAGCCAAGGGAGCAGCUGAGAGCCCCUGACUCAUAAACCUGGUGCUGUUUCCACUUGGGUCCAGGUGGCAGCACAUAAACUCUGCCCAGUCUCUUCAGGGAAAAAACAGAUCACCUAAGUGCAGACAUUGAUAGCCUGGCUCAGUGGUGUGCCCCUGAUCAUCUCCUGAGCUGCUUCUUUUCAGGUAAUAUCUGCAUUUGCACAAAGGUAAUGCAGCUUCACAGAGAAGGGGCCCCCAGAGAAGGACCUGUGUGCUCCUGCAGAUCACACAGGUGGGCUGGGGGCAGGCUGGAAUGAGGAUGCACAAAAAAACAAAGGUGAGGAAGCAAACCUUCCCCAGCCACUGAGCAUUUGAAUGCGUGGGCACCACUGGACGAAGUGAAUAUUGUCACUGAGGAAGGCUUUGGACUGUGGGACCAGGUCCCAUGGAUUUAGAAUGAAAGUAAGUGUCUUAAGUGUGUCAAAUACUCAGAAACCACAGGCACUUCCGGGAGUCUUAUUCCCUGUCUUUCCUUUUCCUUUCAUGCUGUUUUGGUACCAAGGUGCUUUUUCUUUUUCCUUUUUUUAAAUUGACUUUUUUAUGUCUUUCUGUUCCUUCUAAUCAAAAUUCUGACCGAGCUUUCUCUUUGAACUAAUUUAUAUGAUGAAUGUUUUAGGAGUGUGAUGAGGAAAUAUGGAUAAUCUUAGGCUUGUGAUUGAAUAUUUACAGGCAUAAUACAGGCUUCAAGCCAGCUCUAAGUGUUUGGCAGCCCAUGCCUGACCGAGGAAAUAAGCACUCAGGUAAGAUGACCAACUCUCAUUAAAAUUUAGUGAAGGUCGUUAGUUUGCUCUUACUUUGUGAAUUUUCCCUGGGUGACAUAUUGCCCAAUGUGGUAUGAUAGCGUAAAUAUGGAAUUCUAGUAUGUGUUUUUUGAAGAUGUGCAAAGCAGGCAAAUGGGCAACUGGGGCCUUAACAUCACUAUAGCUAUCUCUCUUGAUUAAACUAUUAGCACAUUAAUUAAAAUUACUCUAGGGAGCACGUGCAUGGGGUGGGAAAACUGGCAAUCAUGCCAGACCACAGGUGGAGGUGCUGAGUUCUGGGCAGAGCAGCUUUAGGUAGGUAAGCACUCAUCUGGUGGGUUCCUGUACCACUGAGUCAGUGGCACCUCUCCCCACUCUGCCCUUGCCAGCAUUACCUUUUAUCUGCAGCAAGGCUUUGUGGGCUAGGCUGAGUAAUGAGAUAGGUAAUGUGAUGUCCCCACAUUUCUUUAACAUCUCUUCCCAUGGUCACUGACAAACCUUUUUGCUUUUCCUAUUGUUGAGGUUUCAUUAUGAUGAGCAUAAACAGUUCCCCAUUUUAUACCCACCACUGAACCUCCCUGAGACAUUCUGCAUUUUAUCCUAAGUUUCUGCAGUCUUUCUAUCCUCUCUGCUGCUCACAUGACCACAUAUUCCAGCUUGGAUUGAAACAACCUCUGUGCUUUUUGCUCAGCUGAUGUUUCCUGCCCAAGGUCCUGGUUUCUGCUUGGUGCUUUGGCCACUUGUGGCACAUCAAAGACCCCUUCUGCUACCAGAAAUUCAAACUCCUGCCUCUGUGUGCUGCCACUGCACUUCCUUAGUUUUAUUCCGCUGCUUCUUCAUGAGUAAUCAAAACCCUUUCCUUAAAUGCUUGGUGUUUUUUUUUUUCUCUGCAUCCUUCCUUAUUUCCCAUUCCUUUCAUCUUCCAAUGGGGUGCAAUCUGCCCUGUUUUUUUCUCCCCUUAGUUCAAACCCCAGUGAAUAUCUAGGCAGAGCUGUUCUCCUCUCUCCACAGUUAGAUGUGGCUUGCUUUCUUCUUCUUUUAUGCUUCUUUCCCUCUCUUCACAGUCAGUUUAACCACAGACGUGAAACCUCCACCGUAUUCCAUUUAGGAGCAGAGACCGUAUUGCCUGAAACCACUGCAAACCUAUAAAGUUCUGUGUUUGUUUAGCAGGAACAAAGAUUAUUUUUGCAAGAAGGUGAUGAAACAGCAAAGUUAGAGUUCUUCCAGCAGCAGAAAAUGCACAAAGGCAGGCAAUGUUUAUAGGCAGAUAAAUAUCAAAUGUAAUGCACUGAUUAAUAUUCCAGCAGGAUGGACUUUUAUGAACUGGCAUGUCAUUCUGUAGGUUUUAUUUUUAACAGAUGGGAAAGAAAAACAACAUUUGGUCUAGAGCCUCUGUCUGUCUGAAUGAGGUUUUGCUCAUUUGGGGGGCUGCAGCUAUUCUAAACAUGGCAACCUGAUUUAAUUAGCUGACUAGGAUCCUGCUUCAUCAGGGUUUUUUUUUGUGUGUGGAUAAAUGCACUCUAGCAAAACUGACAGUACUCAGAGCUCCAGACUGCUCCCGCCAAGUUUCCAUCUGAAAUGUGCAAACAAAAUAGCUGAUGAAAUAAUAGACAUGCUCACGCUGGAAACCUUUCUCUUUCCUUUUUCAGGGAAAUUGAAUAUCUAUUGAUUUAUCAUUUCUACCAGAUGGGGAUCACAGCAGUAGUUCCUCUGUGUUUUCACAAGCAGUGUCUUUCACAGAGUUUGCUUUGGUUGACAAGUUAUUUUCCUUCUGAUUUGAGUCUGCCUCUAAUGUGUGCUUUUGGGGUAUUGAUUUCACCAGCAGACAAGCUCUGAUUAUGGCUGUUGCAAGGCUGCCAAGGCCCUGCGAUGUGCAGAAGUCUCUUUGAGUUUCUUCUUCCUGAAAGGCCUAGGCUUCUUAGGGCUAGGAUGAAAAGCAUGAGACCCAUUAAGCAAAGAAGCCAAUCCUGAUGCCUAGGAGGGGUUGCAAAGGCAGUUGGAAUAAAAAGUGAUGCCAAGUCCUUUGUGCAUCUUUGUAUGUGGCACAGGUGCCACAUUGACGCAAAAUGUUUGGAGACUGUCUCCCCAAGAAAGUCUGUUGUCUUAAAUGCAAGUUCCAAUUAUAGUACAAACCCAGCAUUAGGGGCUUUUUGUUUUCAAGUGUGUUGUGCUGAGCUAGGCUUAUCAUCAAGAAGACAAGGGAAUUAACCUUGGUUUAUUAAUUUUAUGUAGACAUUAAUAGUUGCAGCAUCAGCAUUUCCUUGAUUUAGCCACGCGGGUACCACACACAGUAUAGAACUGAAGGAAUGCCAUCUGGGAAUUGAGAGCUGCCCAGUUUUUCAGUCUGCCUUCCCAAGGUUAUAUGACAUCAGUCUCUGAUCAACUGCCCUUUCUGUUGGCUAGUUUCCACCUCAAAUGAAAGGGACAUAAGUCCUGGAAAAGUAAAUUCCCCACCGAAACCCUAGAGGGAACCAAUGAGAAAAAGAGAAGAAGGUGUCAGGUCUCACUGAAUCUCCUUGUCAGCAACUGGCAGGACCUCGGGGUGUAUGUUGGCUUGCCAACCUGCUUAUGAAUAUUUCCAGAUUGGCUACCACACAUAUUGCUCCUUCCUGGUGUUGUCAAAGACAAAUGAGAGCAGGCAGUAGGAGUUACUGCACGUAGGAGAAGACAUUUUAUGGGAUAUCUGACACAUCCAAGGGAAAAAAAAAAAACACAACCAUUUUUGCUGCCCAGGAAACUGUUUGGAUACUUAGCUGGUCUGGCUUGUUUUGUUUUGUUUUUCCCUCAGAAAAAGUCUGAAUUGUACUGCUUCUUUAUUCCACCAUUCUUUCCCCCUGCAUAUUUCAACUAGCUCCCCUCUGCCAUGAAGUGUUCGUGACAGAGAAAGUAAGCCAGCUGACUGAUGGCUGAGGAAGAGGUUUUCUGCAGGUUAUGGGGCCAUGUGAAGGUGAUGACAGUUACAACAGCGCUGAACUGGCAUAGAAGAUCACAGCAGACCCUGGGCUAUGUAGUUGCUCAAUCUAGUAAUUUAAAUUGCCACCUUGCUUCCCACUGUUGCAGUUUUUCAGUGUUCUUGAAAAUUAUCAUUGCAUGUAUUUACAUAUAUUUACACAUAUACAUAGGUUUAUGCCUUGCUCCCUGAACAGGAAGGUUAUUGCUUGGUCUCAUGUUUUUGACAGCAAGUGCAUCUGGAAUCCACUUCCAGCUUCUGCACGUAGGUGAUUUCCUUCUAGUAGGACACCGUGAUAUCCACACCUGGUGCAAGGGCAGAGCUAUUCCACAGCUUCAGAGUACAAAAUCCUCCCUGUGCAGAUCAGCUUCUCGGAGGCUGAGGGGCCAUGCGUGUUCUAGUACUCUUCUGUUCAACCAAAGUCUUCAUUUUCUGUCUUUUUAGAAACCUGUUUAGAAACAUCCUUUACCUUAGGAUGAGAAGUCUGCUUUGGUCUCAAGCCCUGUCUCCCAGAGUUAGAGCAGAGCAAUACAGUAUAACCAAAGCUUCGUCUUUUGUGUGCAUAGCAAUGUGGAGUUUAAUUAAAAAUCUCACUUUCUGUUAUUUUUACUGCAGAUGACUGCUUCAGUGGGUGCCCAAGAAAACAGCAGGAUAAACUAACAAAAUGAAGCAGGGCUGUAUAGUGAAAGUGUUUGUUGUCUGGAGGACUCUGGCUUCGCUUGCUGAAGAAGGCUGAAAAUGCAUAAUGAAUGAGACAGGAUACUCCAGAAAGCCAUAAAAUGGUCUCAGAGGGCAUGUUCGACGCCUCUGUGGGGAGCUAGGUUCUGUAUCUUGCUCAGCCACAGGCUUGGUUCCUAUCCCUUGAACGGAAAAGUUGACCAUACCAUGCAUGCUUCUCAGCUUCUCAUUUUUUGUAUGUGCAAGGCAAGGCAGAUGGGACUAUUUUUUUUUUUUAGAGAGGUGUUACCUGCAGAUGAAGUGACCACAGCUUUGCCUAUGGAAUGAGAUAUAAAAAAGCUCAGAGUUCUAUAAAAUGAACCAGGAUCUAAGCCUGGGUAUUAAAAAUUCAUAGAUGUUUUUCAUAGGUCUAUACUGAAAUUUCCACCGUGUUGGUACUUUGUGUGCAACAUGAGGGCAGUAAUUCCUAAGUGUCUUAGCCAAACUGUAGAGGAAUCCUUAAUAUUUUGGAGGUACAAGAUGUUGCAGUGGAAAUAUUUGUGAGGAAAACACAAAUUUUAUGCUCGAGGAAGCAAGAUUUGGAAGGCAUGAGGUAAAUAAGGAUAAGUAAUGUGUAUUAUAGCAGCAUGCUAAAAAUAAACAGAAAUAUUUAGCCAUUCACUGAGGAAGACAAGGACGUUGUAUAAAAAUAUAGCCUACAAUCAUGUAAUUAAAGCCUGCAUUGUAAUUUGAAGAAGCUGAAGUAAAGGAGCUGUGUGGGUGGCUUUAGCUCUGUUGUCUUUGUCACUGAGUUUCUGCUUUAAUAGGUAGCUUUUCAGAUGUUGUUGGAUAUGUGACAGCGUGGUAAUAACUUCCACAACACAAGUUUAACAGUGCUCUGAAAGCAAAUAUCUUGCUUUGAAACAGGUACAUUUCACUGGACAAAAUCCUCUCUUUCAUCUCAGCGCUCCUCUAUUCUCUUCACUCCCUUCUUUGGAGGAAAGAAGGCUCCAGGGAGACCUCAUUGUGGCCUUCUAAUAUUUGAAGGGAGCCUACAAACAAGAGGGGGUAUGUCUGUUUACAAAGGUGGAUAGUCAUAGGACAAGGGGGUUUUAAAGUCUCAGUUUUAAACUGAGACAGGGGAGGUUUAGCUUAGAUAUUAGGAGGAAGUUUUUCACUCAGAGGAUGGUGACGCACUGGAACAGGUUGUCCAAGGAGGUUGUGGAUUACCCAUCCCUGAAGGCACUAAAGGCCAGGCUAGUGGUCUAGUAGACCCUGCACAUAGCAGGGGGUUGAAACUAGAUGAUCUUUGAGGUCCUUUUCAACCUAGGCCAUUCUAUGAUUCUCCUGUUGCCACCUCCAUGGGACACCACACGAGGGCCAACAGCUUUUGGUUGGCCACAGGUCCUUCUGACACCUGUGACCAGGCAUUGGAGGUUCCCUGCCUCAUCUCUGUAUCUCACAGCUCCUGGAGUGGGCUGUGACAUAAAUUCCUUGCAGGGAGUACGGUGUGAUGAGGAAGCUGUGCUGGCCACCCCACUCAGCCCCACUGCCAUACCGUCUGUGGCAACAAUGGUGUGUGGUUGCAGGAGGCAGUGAUGCUGAAUGCAGGAAACCUGACGACAGGGUAUAUUUUACAGCAUGGCAGCUGUAACGCAGGAUCAUAAGAAAUGUUUGCAUUUUGAAAUGCUUUAUCUUCCAUUUAAGGGAUAGUGUUUCUGGCAGGGAAAGAAUAUAUAAGGGUAUUAAAUGGCUUUCUUUGCAGGCAAUUAAACAAGGAAGCCGAUCAAAGACAUUUAAAUAAUUGUAACAGAUGUUUAUUGCCUGAUGCAGUUUACUGCAUCCUAUUAUUUCUGUUACAUACAGGAGAGAAGAACACAUGGCAAACUGUACCGCAAAAGAAAUUCUUUACUGCCUUGUGAGGAACGUGGCUGCUUCUCUGCCUUCUUAAUUGUAUCAUGUUGAGAACAAGUCAGUAAUAAGUAGUGUUUGGAGGGCAGAGAAGUGGCUUACUGCCUGGAGGAGCAGCAGCAAGUGGUGUGCAAAGACAUGGGGUUGGUGGUAAACACCUUUGAGACAACAGACUGCUGUGGGAUUGCUUCAAGAGUGAUGCUCAGCUCACUCACAUUAGGAAUUUCAGUUCCUCCUGAAGUUAUGCAGUUAGUACUGAGAGGGACAUCCUGGCUCAGGACAAAAGUGUUGGUGGCACUGUAAUCCUCAGUGACAUCUGGGAAUGGCCUCAGGUGGGCAACUAGGCAUCAAUAAAAGGCAAGCAUGUGACAACUCCCCCAGAUACUCCUCAAACAUUUUUGUUGUAGGGCCAGAUGUGUUUUCUUUGUCGUUAAUAACAUAAUAACAUACUUUAGUACUGUGUGUUUAAUUCUAUGUAUUUAAAAACAGAUUUUUCUUGCCUUGAAUUUAAGUGUUCAGAAUAGCCUAUGUAGGACAGUAAGUACCCUAGAGGAACCCAUGAGCUUUUCAUCACCAAUUAAAAGAAAGGGAUGUUUGUUUCCCUAAACAAUAACAAAAAAUUCUAACAAUGAUACUCCUCCCAAUCCCAAAUCCCCAUACAAAAGCCUAUAAACAUUCAAAAUCUAGGCUAGUGUCCCUCCACUUGUUUUAUCCUUGGCUUUGACUAAAAUCUGAGGCUUUUUCAGCAAACAUCUCAUAUUUUCAAAUUCAGUAAUGACUUCAUACAUCCUACUAAUAGAAAAAAAGACUUAUUGCCAUCAUUUCAGAACACAACUGGAAUAUUCAAUAUUCCCCAUCUCCCUUCCUCCCUCUUGCUGAAAGAGGAAGACUUCAGGGAGACUCUUUCUCAGAAGGAAUAACAAUUAUUUGAUGUGUUAUUCUUCCUCUACAGAUCACACCUCUCAUCUGGGGCAGAUCUUUUCUCCUCCUUGUGUCCUGACAUCAUCAUAGGCAGCAAAGUCUGCAUUAAAGACAUGAACUAAUGACACAGGCACUGCACUCUAAGAGGUGGUUCCUUCAUGGGCAAUCCACAUUGAGGUGAUGCACAGCAGGGAAGGGAGCUGGCUCCAGCACCCAUCAGGAACUGCUGAAAGGUACUCUUGCUCCUGGGUUGUCAACACAAGAUUUAGUGUGAGUUCCUGAAAGUGUCUUAACAGGCAUAGAAAGCACUGAUUCCCUCAAGUCUGCAGAAACAUGAUGCACAGCAACCAUUAGCACUGGCUUACAUUGCAGAACAAAUUCUGUGGCAGGAUGAGCCAGGUGCUAUGAUAGCUAUGAAAUAGCUAUGAAAUAGCCAUGAUGCUAUUUCAUCUGAGUGAGAGAGGGAAUGAAUUUGGGUCCUGGGGGAGCAUAGAAAGUGGAUGUUAUGCAACUCCUGAAAGAAUCAAGAGCUGUGGCUGUAGCAACUGCCAAUAAAUAUACUCAAGUACUACUCUGCUGGGAAUAUCUACAUGAGGCAUGAAGUGUGCUUACACCAAAUUACCUGAGGACCGCAUGAUGUCAGUCACAAGGAAAACAAUGCUGUGGGUCUUGUAGAUGGUCCUCAGCCUUGCUAUGACAAGAAGGUGCUGAGUGUUUGAAUGGCUCCCAUCCACUGUGAUUGCAUGAAGACAGGUGGGUCUCUGGCCAUGCCUACUCUCAACCUGCAUGGCAUGUUGUCUGACACUGGUAAGGAGUGUCUCAAAUCUACAUGAGGCAAUCAACAUCAUUUUGUGGACAAUUUUACAUUUGAAAGCAUCUCUCUGGAGCUGUUUGUCUUCAAAACAGAGAGCCCAGGAGUGUUUAUUGCCUGUAGGCUUGGCCUGGGAGAAAAUGAAACCAGCUUGAUACUGGAGACUGGGAAAUGAUACCAUUGUAUCCUGUGAAGGCAAGAUGCAAGCUGGCAUCUCCCUGCUUCCUCUCAUCUGUAACUCCAGAAGAACUGUCUUGGCCUCUUUGGACUGUAAGUAAGAGUUUGUACCUUUGUCACUAGCUGUCAUAGAAUGAACAACACAACCUCUGACAAUUGAGUGGGACAAAACACAUGUCUUGGGAGCUGUUGCUUGGAGAAAAUAAAGCAACUUUUUUUCUUUUCAGGGAACAGUAUCCCACUAGGACUUCCCAAAACACAAAUUAGUUUCGUCGUGCUGUAGUAUUUGCUCUUCAGUAUUACUAUCAGUCAGAAAAAUGCCAGGGUUCCUGUCACAUUGCUUUGUCACACUCACACUCAUAGUUUAAAUUGCUGUGAUAGAGAAUCAGGAGAAAGAGAGUCAUACUGAAUAUGACUUCUUCUAGUAUGAUCUUUAGGUUUACAUUAGAUAUGUUAUGUUGUAUUUGUAAUUAGACAACUCAAUCCAAGCAACUUUCACGUCAUUUUUCUUCAAAUGAUUCGUUAGCUGAAAAAUGAGGCUCCAUUCAGGCAAAGCUCUGUUGUGAAUUUGGGUCAAAUUUGGAAAAAAAAUGAGGAUUAUUCCAAAGCCUAAAGCUGUUUCUCGUAUAUUUUUUUUUCUUCCAGAAAAUGUUUCAAUGCUUUCAGCUCAGAGCAGCAUUUGGAGACCAAGUUUUUCUUCUGGUAAAACAUAAACUACAGCACAGAAAUAGAAGUAAAACAUUUGUUUGCUCAGCUCUAGUAACUUGGUGCCGAGGCAUGCCCGCAGGUAUGCUUGUACUGUAAUUGCUGCAGCUGUUAUUCUGAAUUGAAUACUUUUCCUUGCUUGCUCCUCUUCCUCUUCAUGCACUGUAGUUUUAUAAAGCUCAAGUUGCUGAUGAUGUGCUGCACAGGAUGGUUUUGAUGUGUUGUCUGGGCAAGACUAUCUUUGACAGCUACCUUUUACUCGCUGGGAGAAACAGGUCUAGGACGUGAUUCCUGCUCCCUCUUGCUACUCUCUAAGUGUUGUUGCAGGUGAAAAGGAAACAUGCCUCGUACAUAAAGUCACUAAUUUAUUAGUAGCAUAAUAGAAAUCUCAAGUCUAAUCCAAGAAUUAUUAUUGAUGCAGAUCUGGUUAUAGAAAGAGGAGGAAUACUAUGAAGAAAAGUCUCGGUAAUAACAUGGUUCAGGUUGUUAUGUGUUUAACAUCCUAGUUUCUACACCUUUUUUUUGUGCAAUGCUUACACUUCCAGUGGGCCCAUGUAACAUCAAAAUUUACUGUUAAUAUUGCCUUUUGUUUGUGCUAGCUACUAUGUCUCUAUUCUCUUCAUUAUAAAACUGGUUUUGUCCAGCUCCAGCCUUGCAUUUCUUUAAAUGAACACUGGUGGGUUGUUUAUAACCAUGGGAUCACCAAUGCCAGCCUGCGCUACUUCUGUUACCAUCCUAGGUCUGUGCUGCUCCUCACCAUGUCCUGUGGCUCUGCCUCACAAGGUUCUCUAUAAUGUAUCAUUAUGUUAGAUUAAUAAAUAUCCCAUUCUUUAUAUAAUCACUGCUUGUUACUGCGGUCUAUAUAAAGUCAUGGUUGCAGCCUGUAAAGAUAAACAAAAGUAUAGUAAGCUAUCUAUAGCCUCCUUGUAAUCUGAAAAAAAAACUGCUAUUACAGAUGAACCAAGUAAAAUAAGCUGCAGGUGGGUCAUGAGAAGACCAGGCAUAGCCAGCCUGGAGAGCCUCUGUUGAGGCCUUGCAAGCUUGGUACAGAGUUUGUGGCUUGUUCCUAGCACUGGCAAUACUGAUUUCUUGUGCUCUCAUGAGCUUCCUUAUUUGUUUUGAUGAUGCUUCUGAGUUGCUCUGAUCUAAUGGCACUUGCCCUUUCCUGGUUCAGUAUUUCUUUCACAUUUUUUUUCUGUUACGUGGGGUCUGCAGGAUAAAUACCACUGGGUGGGAGAUGGGUAGGGAAAGGAGGAAGGUGAGCAAAGGAGAAUCAGUCUACCCCAGCAGUGGGAUGAGGAUCAUCAUCUCCACUUCUCAGCACAAACAGAUUUUACUAAACUUCCUGCAAAACUCUUAGCAACAACCUUUUUGUGUGUUAGAAGGCAAUAAUCAAAUCACUCUGGCCUUUUGCUGAAGCAGAACAAAUCCAUGGCUGUGUUCCCAGCUGUAAACAAAGGGAGCUCCUGGUGACUGUAGAUAGACCCCAGAAGAUCUCAGGCUCAUCUCCAUGAGGAACCUCUGCUGGAAGGGAGUUUAUAUCUCCAAACCUUUCACAGGAAGCCCACUGAAUAAAUUCAGUUAGUUAUUUGGACAGGAUCAGUGGUGAGAUGAGAGUCAUCUAGCUCUGACUUUAGAAGUGAAUUGGAAGUCAACACCUGCAUGAGAGCUGCAUUACAGCCAAAAAGAAAGAGGAUGAGAGAAAAGUGUUAAUGUAGGAGCAAAGAAGGUCACUGGGAAACCUGGCUGCACAUUCAGAGAGAGAUUUUCCUGUGUCCAGGGAGUCUAGAGCCAAUGGUGAGUAGAGCAAGUUGCCUGUAGCUGUUGCUUGUAUGUUUGGGAGAAGCAGAGCCUGAUUUCUGGGCCAUAUGGUGAGAGCUCCAGCUUGUUGAGCAUCUCUUUGGAGCAGGCUGUCUACCUGGGCACAUGCUACUUAGUGAAUUUUCCCCUUUAAGCUCAGUGAGCAUUAGCUCCCUGCCCUACAGAUACCCUUCCAUGUGCCUGGGAUGCUGACUGGGGUGGAGCCCCAGUGGGCACCAGAUGAUGACCUCUGAACUUGCACUGAUGGCUGUGUCCAUCACUGACGUUUUUCUUGGAACUCAUGGAAUCAUAGAAUGGCUUGGUUUGGAAGGGACAUCAAAGACCAUUCAGUUUCAACCCCCUGCCAUGGGCAGGGCGUCCACCCACCAGCUCAGGCUGCCCAGAGCCCCAUUCAACAUGGCCUUGAACAUCUCCACUGGUAGGGCAUCCACAGUUCUGGGUAGCCCAUUCCAGCACUUCACCUCCCUCUCAGUGAAAAACUUUCCCUUGACAUCUAAUCUAAAUCUCCCUGCCUUUAGUUUGAAAGCAUCCCCCCUUGUCCUAUCACUAUCUACCUGUGUAAAAAGUUGAUUUCACUCCUUUUGUAACCUCUGGAUGUGUGAGAGCAAAGAGAUUCUCUGAAACAACUCAAGAGGCUUCCUGUGGGCCUUGGUCUCUCUUGCACAACGCUCUUGUGGUAACAAGGGUACCAUUGCUAUGUGGUCAAAAAGUAUACUCGGGGAAGCAUUUAUCGCUCUUUGACUGUUCAGUAUUUGGUCCCUAGGAGAUACAAUUGAUAUACAGUGUGCUGUAUAUUUUAUUAGGUGAAAAAGUACCCACUGAGGCAUAGUAUCAUUUCCAAAGUUGACCUUGUGACAGCGGGCAAUGGCAGUGCACAUAAAAAUGAUAAAAGCCUUGCUAAAAUCUCUGGCUGCACAGGUUGAGGAGAGAGCUUGAAAACUGUUGAUAGAUGGGUUAGAUUCACAGAUAGACACAGGCUCAGAGGUAAAUUUUUUAAAAAGGGAAAUAUGGGUAAGAAAUGAAUCCGGACGAGCACAGAGAAAAUCAAGAGAAAGGCAAAUGCGGCAGAAGACUGGAGAAAGCUUUGUUUUCUUACUGAGAAAGCACACUUCAUGAGGAAUUAUGGCCAGACUGAGGUGUUGGCAUGCUGGUUUGAGCUGCAGAGGAGAAUGGGGAUGUAAACUACUAAAUAAAUGACAACAUGGAUCUCUCUGUUGCUGCAAAGUUCUCUCUGUGUCUUCACUUUACUUGGUUAUUUGUGGUUUGUGUUUGUAGUGAGUUUUCUAGCAACACAGUUAAAUUGUCACAUUGAUUUUUCUUUCUCACAUUUUUUUAGGCAAGAGUAUAGGUUUUUUUUGUUUUUGUUUCGUUGGUUUUUUGUUGUUGUUGUUUUUGUUUGUUUGUUUGUUUUUUAUUACUUAGAAAACUGUGAUCUUUAACAACCCAUUUGGUUUAGUAUUCCAUGGUACACAAGAGAUGCCCAAGCCAGAACUUGGAAACAAAACCUCUUCAAGUGCAGAGAUGUUGGGAGUCUGCACCUGAAUUUGCCAUUCAGGAUCAUUUCUAGUACCCAACAUAGAAAUAAAAUGUUGAAUAUUGGCUACUAGGGAGUAUAUAUAUAUCCCAGCUCAAGACAAGGAAUACCAUAAAUUGAUGAAAUCAGUGAUUGAUGUGAACAUCACUGAUGUAACAGAACUGUUUGUUUUUUGAGCUGUCAUUGCUGUGGGAGUACAAAAAUAAUACUUUCUGUGCAGCACUGUUUGUUUUUUCCUGCCCUACUCUGUCAAGACAGAGAUAUUAAAGGUGAUCAACUGAGAAAGGAGCUUGAAGCAGUCAAAAGAAGAGAACACAGAUUAAUGUUUCUGCUCAGAAGCUGGGGCUGAAGGGGGUGAGAUGUGUCUGUGACAAAACAUUGCCUUCAGUCACUCACCAUUAACAAAUGGGUUUGCUGACCAGAGUGUGUGAUUUCUCACCAGGGAGGUGUGGCUCAGGCAGGAAACUGAUGACUAAGAAUGUGAUAGCCUAAUUUCCAUGAGUUGUCUUUAGAGAUAUUGGGAUCUGCUAACUGCUUGGGAAACACAAGUUUAACCUUUACUUCCUCAGUCUGUGUAAUGUCCCUUAGAGAGUGGAGAUAGUAGCAGGAGAGAGGUGAUCCUCACUGAAUGUGGUUGUUUAUUAUCAGCUUUUGUUACCUUUCCACAUCUAGCUGUUCUCUACUAUGUCAUUGCUGGCAAUGAUAAGAUUCCUACACAGUCUUGGUUACCUUUCCAUACUCUAGUGGACUCUUGCUAAUCUAAAACGUAGUAUCUAUGCAUUGUCAGUUAUGCUGUGCUGCUCAUCACAUCUCCCCGUGGCUGUGCUAUGUGCUUGUUCAUCCCAGCUCUAGAAACUUCAUCUUGCAUUAUGUUCCUGCCUCAUUUUUUUACUUAUUUGCUCUGGGGAGUUGGAUAGCCAUACCCUCUUAUAAACAUGGGGAGUUUGCCAAUGUGUAGGACAUAUGCCAGUGUUUAGGAUCAACCUUGAUAUUGUCCUCUGCCACUAUGAAGCACAUGAUCUGAGGCCCCUCUGGGGAUCGCUAACUUUUGUGAGCAGUAAAAUGAUGAUGCAAAAGGGUGCAAGUGUGAAGGGUGGGAGGAUGGCAAUGGUGAGCAGAGAGAUUGCUGCUGCAGAAACUCAGGCCUUCCAGCCCUGCCGGCCAGGAGGCUGUUCCAGCUGCAGUGCAUGAAGUGGGAAUAAUGUUGGGUUUCUGCUGGCCAGGGAAAGGGAGGGGAAAAGUCUGGGAAUGGCAUAGCAGUCAGUCCCAGUUUGUCAGGAUAGCUAGAGUAAUGAUAUGAACAUAUGAAUAUUUACUUCCAACUAUUUAUAGAGCCAUGCUUUAGAUGUUCUUUAUUGUUAUUUUAGUAGAAUUAAUGCUUAGAGGAUAUUCUCAAUGAAAAAUGUUCCCUAUGAGUGAGUCAAAUCAAAUAAAUACAUAUUCUCCUCACUAUAAAAUAGCGAAAGCACAUUGCAUUCCCCUGCUAGGAUGACAUCAUUUCCAUGCAGGUACUGGCAAAAUAUCUCCAGUACAUACAGUGCUUUGAAAUGAAAAUUACUAUAAUAUAAGGUAUUUGAGUGCAACACAAAAAUGACUGUGAAGGCAGAAAAGAAACAUCUACGUUUGGACUUUUCUACUUCAACUUUGGAAUUACCUGGUUUAUACACAUCUAUACGAGUCAAAGCUGGUUCAAUGUAAUUAACAUUUCCACGCAUGUAUGCCAGAAAGAAAAUAAGAAAAUUAGAAAAUAAGAAUUUACAAUACUGAAAUGAAAGACAUCCCUUAAGAAAACAUAGGUUCAUUACUUGGUAUGGUUGGAAAUAAUUAACUGUUCAUUUAAUUAAAUGAAGUUAAAUGAAUACUCAUUAUGGAUAUGGAAAAGUGUUAGAUGAUCUAUUUGGAAGUCACAAUGAUACUGAUGAUUUUUUUCCCAUUUUGAAAACAAGGAAAAUGCUAGAAAGUGACAAAUAUCAUGGGAUAUCUUAACAUUUACAAGACCAAACAGCUCACGCUCAGUUUAGAGAAGUUAGGAAAGAUUAAACCAAGCAGAGCACAUCUUGAUUGUGAGCAAACUGUGAAGGACAUCUAAGAGGAGACUGUGUAUGUGUGUGCAUGUGAUGAUACCAUUUUUACUGUAGUAGCUUUGAAACCUCUAGCAAAGGAAGGCUGGUUUGCCUAGCAUCCUAUUUCAUCUUAAAGAAAAAAAAAAGAAAAAGAAAAGAGAAAUAGGAACAUAACUACUGCCUCUCAACAUUGUUCUGUGAAGAAGGUGUUUUGUGAAAUGUACUGGUUUUUGAAAGCAUUUCAUUGCAUUUUGAUAGCAUUUGGUUUCUGAUUGUAACCAUUCACAUGACAUACUUCUCUAGAGUAUUGGACUUGAUGCCAUGAAAGAUUCUCAUUAAAGGUUAGCAGUGUAUAAACUGAAUGUAGAACAUAUUAAAUGGCUUAAAACUGGCUCACCAAUAAAUCUCAUGUAGUAAUUGCAAACAAGGAAUCAUCUUGCAAAAGAAGUGCAUUCAGCAAGGACCCUCCAGGGAUUUCCUGGCUCAAGUCCUUCCAUGAUUUUCUGUCUUUCAGAAGAACAUAUAAAAUCACUGCUAAUAAAGUUUGUGGAUGACAUAAAGGUGAGAAAAAAAAAAAAAAUAAGGACAGCUUAGUCCUGCAGGCUGAACAGAAUUGGCCUUUUCUGAUCAAAGCCUCUUUUGAUGCAGCCAGAUUCAUGGUCAUACACCCAGAAGAGGAGAAUUUAGGUCACACUUAGAUAAUUUAGGGGCUGCUUCCCGGUAGGCAGCAACCAUGAAGAAGGCACAUGGGUGGAUAACUCAUGGAUCACAGGGCCUUGGUGGGUUUUUCUCACUGAAAGGCUGACAGCUGUUUUUGUGAAUGUCUUCAGAAGUUUCUGGGACCUGCUCCAUAUAUCUAGCACCAUGUGCCAGAGAUGUGAGACGGUCUGUGGAAGCCUGUGACCAAUGUCACUGGGAAAACUCUGACGAAACAGGUAUUGUUUGCAAAGACAAAAGUGGACGACCAGCUUAAAACUUGAAUUAGACCUGGUUAUUGUUUUUCCUUUUUUUUAGUUCAUAUGUUUGUUCUGGAUAUGUAAUGUAACACUUGUGCAGAGGAGGGGGGAUGGAAACAAAUCCGUUCUUGACAUUGCGUGAUCUUAUAUUGUUCAGCAGUAGAUAAACACAAUCUCCAUCUCUAAUACUAACUAAGCCUGCAUGACUCUACGUACCAUUUUUUCCUUCUGUCUGUGAGCUCUGUUUGUAAUACCUGCUUUCCCCCUCUUUCCCGUGACUGUUCCCAACCCCAGUGUCUAGCUGCUGCACACAAAUCCAAAGCCUUGAGACAAACUGGCAGGAACUUCAAAGUCUGUCACAACCUGCUGUAGUCACAGGAUGGUGAGAGGAUGCUAAAACCAGCAGAGCAGUUGAGAUCUCCAUGGAUAUAGCUGUCUUCUGAGCACUGUGGCUGAGCAGUGGAAAUUGCACGGUGACCAUCCCUACUUCACUUUUAUUAGAUAUAAUCUGAGCACAGUCUAGAAAUUGUUCAGCUAGAGUUGAGUGUCCUUACAACUUACAGGUGUGUGGUGCUGCCUGGACAAGGAGAGGUCUGGUAUAGCAGCAGUGUAUCUGGUGAUAUUAAAUAAGAUUGUUUAAUAAAAGUAUAAUAAAAAAUGGUCCAGGUAUAAGAUAGGGUAGCGGUUCUGUUUUUACUGUCUCAUGAGGUAAGAAUGAUGAGAAUAAGAGAGGGGAAUUCAGCACUGAAAAAAAACAACUUUUUUUUUUCUCUGCCUCCCUAUAAUUAAACUGUGGAACAGAUUGCUACAGGUUGAUACUGCUGUAAUUUCUUGAGAAUGCAUGUUUGAAUUAUAUUGUGUUAGCUUCUGUAGUUAAUGCUCUGUUCUCCUGGUGUCCUUAUGUCUACGUAAUUGGGGAUAUUCAGAGUGCUUGCACUGACUGUUGUUGAAAAUGUUAUGAAAGGACAGAUUUCUUACGCUUCCUGCUUCAUAGCUUGGCCUAAUCUCCAGCCACUGGAGGGGCAGGAGGUGGCUGAGAAGAAAGCUUCUGUGAGGUAAGGUGCAGGCCAUGGCCAGGGCAUGGCAUUGGGCCACUGGACUUUGGUUCUAGAGCAGCAUCCUCAUUUCUAAGUUCUGGAUGUCCAAUCAGGCUCCCCUGGCCAUUUUCUGUGUCUUUGUGUGGCGGAAAGUAGCACAGUGUUUUUGAUUUCAACACUGUGCCACUGAUUUAUACCAUAUUUUGCCUAGUCAUAAGUGUAUUGACAUGGUGACUAUCCCUGUUUAUUCCUGUUCCAUCAGUCAAAUGUAUUAGUUCAUUUUCCUGAGAUCCUGGGGCAGUUUGCACUGAGCAUAUCUUUAAUCUUUGCUGUCUUAAAAAUAAAAUAUUCUUCACCCGAUAUUCAGGAAAAUGUAUUUUUUGUUGUUGUUGUUGUUUCUUCUUUUUUUCUUUUCCUUCCACUGGAGAUCGAAUAGGCGUCCUGUGAGCAGCAAGGCAGUGAAUUUUGCUCUUGCUGAGUGAGUUUUAUUCUUCAGGUGCUCACUUGCAAUUUGCAAGCACUUCUGAAAUAUCUUCUGGGAUGUGAGCUCUCCCUCCUCUGGAAGGCAUUCCUUUGAUUCCUUGUAUUGUGCAAAUGUUCUUGCAGGUGGCAAGCAUGCUGAAGAUAACUCUUUUGAUCCUUCAGAAUCAGCAUCCUCUUGUAAUCUUGUUUUCCAGCUUUGUAAAUAUUACCCACACACCUACAACUUAUUGUUGCUUUCACAUCUUCACUUUUACUACUUCAUUUCAAAUAGCGCCUUCCCCC